GCGAGCUACAACUGCUGAGAUUUUUAAAGCUACGUGUUCCCUUGGGAUUCAAAACCAACCUCUUUUGGGUUAAUAUAUUUUGACAACGAGUAUUUCAUCAUCUAAUAGGAGGUGUUGUUUGGAAGUUAUCAAAAUUUUAGCUCCGUUGCCAGAGAACACGGUGUUGAUUUGAAGUUGUUGUAGUUUUGGGGUUUUUUUUUUUUGUUUCUAGUAGGGCAUAUGAUCAU
rnacentral:lncRNA from 1 species